rnacentral:rRNA from 1 species
GUGGGGAAUUUUGGACAAUGGGCGCAAGCCUGAUCCAGCCAUUCCGCGUGCAGGAUGAAGGCCUUCGGGUUGUAAACUGCUUUUGUACGGAACGAAAAGGUUCUCUCUAAUACAGGGGGCUGAUGACGGUACCGUAAGAAUAAGCACCGGCUAACUACGUGCCAGCAGCCGCGGUAAUACGUAGGGUGCAAGCGUUAAUCGUAAUUACUUGGCGUAAAGCGUGCGCAGGCGGUGAUGUAAGACAGAUGUGAAAUCCCCGGGCUCAACCUGGGAAAGGCAUUUGUGACGGAAUUGCUGGAGUGCGGCAGAGGGGGAUGGAAUUACGCGUGUAGCAGUGAAAUGCGUAGAUAUGCGGAGGAACACCGAUGGCGAAGGCAAUCCCCUGGGCCUGCACUGACGCUCAUGCACGAAAGCGUGGGGAGCAAACAGGAUUAGAAACCCGAGUAGUCC